UUACGGCCGUACCACGUUAAAACACCGAUUCCCAUACGAACACUGAAGUUAAGCUACGUCAAGUCUGGUCAGUAACGUGAUGAGUGAACACCUGGGAAUGCUAGGUGCUAU